GACGAACGCUGGCGGCGUGCUUCACAUGCAAGUCGAACGAUGAAGCUGGAGCUUGCUCCGGUGGAUUAGUGGCGAACGGGUGAGUAACACGUGAGCAAUCUGCCCUUGACUCUGGGAUAACUGCGGGAAACUGUAGCUAAUACCGGAUACGAGGCUCGAAGGCAUCUUCGGGUCUGAAAGAAUUUCGGUCAAGGAUGAGCUCGCGGCCUAUCAGCUUGUUGGUGAGGUAAUGGCUCACCAAGGCGACGACGGGUAGCCGGCCUGAGAGGGUGACCGGCCACACGGGGACUGAGACACGGCCCAGACUCCUACGGGAGGCAGCAGUGGGGAAUAUUGCACAAUGGGCGCAAGCCUGAUGCAGCAACGCCGCGUGAGGGAUGACGGCCUUCGGGUUGUAAACCUCUUUUAGUAGGGAAGAAGCGAAAGUGACGGUACCUGCAGAAAAAGCACCGGCUAACUACGUGCCAGCCGCCGCCGUAA
rnacentral:rRNA from 1 species